rnacentral:rRNA from 1 species
GGAGGAAAAGAAACUAACAAGGAUUCCCCUAGUAACGGCGAGUGAAGCGGGAAGAGCUCAAAUUUGAAAUCUGGUGGCCUCAGGUCAUCCGAGUUGUAAUCUAUAGAAGUGUUUUCCGUGCUGGCUCAUGUACAAGUCCCUUGGAACAGGGCGUCAUAGAGGGUGAGAAUCCCGUCCUUGACAUGAACUACCAGUGCUCUGUGAUACAUUUUCAACGAGUCGAGUUGUUUGGGAAUGCAGCUCAAAAUGGGUGGUAAAUUCCAUCUAAAGCUAAAUAUUGGCGAGAGACCGAUAGCGAACAAGUACCGUGAGGGAAAGAUGAAAAGCACUUUGGAAAGAGAGUUAAACAGUAUGUGAAAUUGUUGAAAGGGAAACGAUUGAAGUCAGUCGUGCUCUUUGGAUUCAGCCGGUUCUGCCGGUGUACUUCCUUUGAGUGGGGUCAACAUCAGUUUUGAUCGCUGGAUAAAGGCUGGAGGAACGUAGUACCCUCGGGUAAACUUAUAGCCUCCUGUCACAUACAGUGGUUGGGACUGAGGAACGCAGCACGCCUUUAUGGCCGGGAUUCAUCCACGUACGUGCUUAGGAUGUUGACAUAAUGGCUUUAAACGACCCGUCUU